AUGUGGGCACAUUGUUAUAGAAUCAAUGCCGGAAUUAAUACAAAUAUGGCAGUUGAAAGCUUAAAUAAAGUUCUGAAGUACAACAAAAUGAAUGGAAAACAGAAUAUUAGGAUCGAAAAACUGUUGGAUUUACUGGAUGAACUUGUUGAUGAAAGAAGGUGGAAAAGGAUUAUAAACAUAAAAAGGCCAAAUGCAAAUAAUUAUCAGCACAAAAUAUGUCAGAGUGCACAUAAAAAAGCAGAAGAAAUGGUGGGUAAUAACGGUAAUGUAUCAUAUUCUGAAUUAGGACAUUUUAAGGUAAGGUCGUUUAGUGAUAAUCAUAAAUUGUAUUGUGUAAAUUAUAAUGAGGUUUGUGAUGAGGACUGUAGGGCAAUGUAUUGUGAGAAGUGUAAAAUAUGUAAACAUAAAUAUAAUUGUGAUUGUCCAGAAUAUACUGUUAAAAGUGUCAUGUGUAAGCAUAUACAUGCUGUAGCUUUAUUUGAGCAGAGGAGCGAAUAUGUUUCAGGUUUCAUGGAUGAAAUGCAAGAAGAUAAUAAUCUGUAUGUCAAUGAACCUUCAACAAGCAAGACAGUUUAUGAGGAUGAAGUAAAUUAUUUUCUUGACGAGACUGAAAAUAGAAUGAAUGUGACAAUUGAUUUUGAAAGAAAGCGUGAGAUUUGUCUAGAACAGUUUUGCUCUGAAAUUCGUAAUUAUGGUGGUGGAUUGGGUGAACAUGAUUUAGAAAAAUUUAUGGGUGAUUUUAGAAAUUUUAUGCAGACAGUAAAACAAAAAGAAAUGGUGAUGAGUAAAAAAAGAAAAAUAGAAAAGCAGCAGUAUUAUCUGAACAAAAAACCUAAAUAAAUUUAUUUAUAAUAAAAUGUUUAUAACUAUUUCAUUACUGAAUGACAUUGCUUUUGUGAGUGACCUAUUCUGGUAUUAUAUCUAAGUGGUGUUGGCUAUUUGUAUUCAUGUAAUUCGUUGGCUUAUGGUGAAGAAUACUUAUAAAAUAUAUUUUUUUAAUUUUAAUUUUGCCUUUGUUAUAAUUAACUAAUAUAUUAGUGUUUGUUUCAUA